ACAGCAGCCGCCGCGGUAAUACGUAGGGUGCGAGCGUUGUCCGGAAUUACUGGGCGUAAAGAGCUCGUAGGCGGUUUGUCGCGUCGUCUGUGAAAUUCUGCAGCUUAACUGCAGGCGUGCAGGCGAUACGGGCAGACUUGAGUACUACAGGGGAGACUGGAAUUCCUGGUGUAGCGGUGAAAUGCGCAGAUAUCAGGAGGAACACCGGUGGCGAAGGCGGGUCUCUGGGUAGUAACUGACGCUGAGGAGCGAAAGCGUGGGUAGCGAACAGGAUUAGAUACCCGCGUAGUCCCUGUCUCUUAUAC
rnacentral:rRNA from 1 species